UACGGAGGGGGCUAGCGUUUUUCGGAAUUACUGGGCGUAAAGCGCACGUAGGCGGAUUGGAAAGUCAGGGGUGAAAUCCCGGGGCUCAACCCCGGAACUGCCUUUGAAACUCCCAGUCUUGAGGCCGAGAGAGGUGAGUGGAAUUCCGAGUGUAGAGGUGAAAUUCGUAGAUAUUCGGAGGAACACCAGUGGCGAAGGCGGCUCACUGGCUCGAUACUGACGCUGAGGUGCGAAAGCGUGGGGAGCAAACAGG
rnacentral:rRNA from 1 species